GGGUAUUAUUACAUACACGGUUAGUAUUAAAUUAAUAUACAUGUAGUUAUGAAUACACGGUUUAAUACACGUGUAAUUAAAUACAGGUCUACCCGUAUACCCGUGUAUUUUAAAUACCUGUAAAAAAUCGUAAGCCUUAAUUAAAACGUAAUAUUAUAAUACAUUUUAGAAAAAAAAAUUGUUGUUUAAUCGUCUCAAAUAAUUCC